rnacentral:rRNA from 1 species
UACGUAGGUGGCAAGCGUUGUCCGGAUUUAUUGGGUUUAAAGGGUGCGUAGGCGGCUUUGUAAGUCAGUGGUGAAAUACGGUAGCUUAACUAUCGAGGUGCCAUUGAUACUGCAGAGCUUGAGUACAGAUGAGGUAGGCGGAAUUGACGGUGUAGCGGUGAAAUGCGUAGAUAUCGAGAGGAACACCAGUGGCGAAGGCGAGUCCCUGGACAAAACCUGACACUGAGGCACGAAAGCUAGGGGAGCAAACAGG